rnacentral:lncRNA from 1 species
CAUUACAUUUGAAAUGUUUCUCUCCAGUGUGGAUCGCAUGAUGAUUAGUGAGGCUUGAACGCAUACUAAAAGCUUUGCCACAUUCAUUACAUUUGAAAGGUUUCUCUCCAGUGUGGAUUCUCCAGUGAUUUACUAGGGAUGACUUGUGACUGAAGACCUUGCCACACUCAUUACAUUUGUAAGGUUUCUCUCCAGUGUGGAUUCUCUGAUGUUGUGCAAGGUGUGAAAUAUGAUGGAAGACCUUUCCACAUACAUUACAUCUGUAAGGUUUCUCUCCAGUAU